AUUGAACGCUGGCGGCAGGCUUAACACUUGCAAGUCGAGCGAGCGGCGGACGGGUGAGUAAUGUCUGGGAAACUGCCUGAUGGCGGGGGCUAACUACUGGAAACGGUAGCUACUACCGCAUACCAUCAGAUGUGCCCAGAUGGGAUUAGCUAGUAGGUUGGGUAAUCGCUCACCUAGGCGACGAUCCCUAGCUGGGCUGAGAGGAUGACCAGUCACACUGGAACUGAGACACGGUCCAGACUCCUACGGUAGGCAGAAGUGGGGAAUAUUGCACAAUGGGCGCAAGCCUGAUGCAGCCAUGCCGCGUGUGUGACGAAGGCCUUCGGGUUGUAAAGCACUUUCAGCGAGGAGGCGUUACUCGCAGAAGAAGCACCGGCGAAAACAGGGACAGCAGCCGCGGUAAUACC
rnacentral:rRNA from 1 species